rnacentral:rRNA from 1 species
CCUACGGGAGGCAGCAGUGGGGAAUAUUGGACAAUGGGCGAAAGCCUGAUCCAGCCAUGCCGCGUGUGUGAAGAAGGCCUUCGGGUUGUAAAGCACUUUCAGUGGGGAAGAAAGCCUUGGGGCUAAUACCCUCGAGGAAGGACAUCACCCACAGAAGAAGCACCGGCUAACUCCGUGCCAGCAGCCGCGGUAAUACGGAGGGUGCGAGCGUUAAUCGGAAUUACUGGGCGUAAAGCGCGCGUAGGCGGUCUGAUAAGCCGGUUGUGAAAGCCCCGGGCUCAACCUGGGAACGGCAUCCGGAACUGUCAGGCUAGAGUGCAGGAGAGGAAGGUAGAAUUCCCGGUGUAGCGGUGAAAUGCGUAGAGAUCGGGAGGAAUACCUGUGGCGAAGGCGGCCUUCUGGACUGACACUGACGCUGAGGUGCGAAAGCGUGGGUAGCAAACAGGAUUAGAUACCCGAGUAGUC